rnacentral:rRNA from 1 species
GACGAACGCUGGCGGCGUGCUUAACACAUGCAAGUCGAACGCGAAAGUCCCUCGGGAUGAGUAGAGUGGCGGACGGGUGAGUAACGCGUAGGAAUCUAUCCUGUAGUGGGGGAUAACGUUUCGAAAGGAACGCUAAUACCGCAUACGCCCCACGGGGGAAAGCGGGGGAUCUUCGGACCUCGUGCUAUAGGAGGAGCCUGCGUCGGAUUAGCUAGUUGGUGAGGUAAAGGCUCACCAAGGCGAGGAUCCGUAGCUGGUCUGAGAGGAUGAUCAGCCACACCGGAACUGAGACACGGUCCGGACUCCUACGGGAGGCAGCAGUGGGGAAUAUUGCGCAAUGGGCGAAAGCCUGACGCAGCCAUACCGCGUGUGUGAAGAAGGCCUUCGGGUUGUAAAGCACUUUCAGUGGGGAGGAAAAGCUGGUGGCUAAUAUCCAUCGGCCGUGACGCUACCCACAGAAGAAGCACCGGCUAAUUCCGUGCCAGCAGCCGCAGUAAGAC